rnacentral:misc_RNA from 1 species
GUGUCAUUUGGUAAAAUUCAAUAGAGAUAUUGCAAUUCAAGAAAACAGAAAUGCAGAUGUUGACUGGUCAUCAUACUCGUAAUGCAAUCUAACAUCCUGAUAAAUUACAAUGGGCACAACAGUUGGACCAUCCCAAAUGACAAUGAAACGGUCGGUGAGUGACAGCUUGUCCACUCCAAAAAGCAAAAAUCAAUAGACGACAUGACGUUUCAGAAGUUGUACUGUUUUUAGCAAUGAGCAGCGCAUGAGCCACGUGGCUCACUUUUCCCUCUCGACAUUGAUAAGCUGGCUGGUGAGGUUUGAGUUUCUUGUUCUUGAUUCUUGAAUUAUGUAUCAGAUUCUCCUCAUUACCUAAGACAGAAAGAUCGCAAAAAUUAGCUAUGGAAUCAACUCAAAAACUGGAGCUCAUUGAUCAGGCGAUCCAGCAGCUCUUAGCAGACAAGAUCAACAAAGAAUCCUUCGCUGAUACUCUCCAAGAAGAUAGUGAUACUCAUAAGCUUCUUCUCUCUAGAUUACUUUCUGAGUUGGAUUCAUUGAAAAGUGGAAGCAAAGUAGAGCAAUCUGAAGCAUCAGCUGAACAGGAGGAUCCUUCAGUUGUUGAAGACGAGUUGAAAAAUGAGAAAGCCAGCCAAGUGGAUAAUUGCAGCACUCAAAUUGGUGCUGAAGAGAUAGUGAAGGAGCUUAGAAAGGUAAGGAAGCAGAAUUUUCUGAACCAUUGCCUUCUUUCAGGCAUGAUUGUCCUCACUGUAGCUUGGCAAUUAUCUGAGGUUUCUCUCAUUUUGAAAAUUAAAGAUGGGCUGAAUCACCCAUUUAAAUCCUUGGGAAGUAUGAUUACAGGAAUGCUAAAAGCCCCUGGAUCAAAUGCACAAGAUGCAGAAAAACAACAGCACACAGAACCAUCUUCUUCCAUUCCUCUCCAAAUGCCAGAGCUUCCACACGUGGACUUGGGCUUAAAUGGUAAAGAAGACUGAGAAGGUUUUUAUUGUAUUCUAAAAUAAAACAAGGGAGGAAACUUGCCCUUUGCUGGAAUAAUCUGAAAUUGUUUAGACGCUAUAGAGAAUGUCAUUGUUGUACCAUAUUGUAGUCUAAAUUUUUUAAAAAUAAAAUGGAAUAGCUUUUUUCAGCUUAUUCUCUGCCAGUGUUCCUU